UACGUAGGGGGCGAGCGUUAUCCGGAAUUAUUGGGCGUAAUGAGUGCGUAGGUGGUCUUGUAAGCGUGGGGGUGAAAGGCAGUGGCUCAACCAUUGUUAGCCUUGCGAACUGUGAGACUUGAGUGCAGGAGAGGAAAGUGGAAUUCCUAGUGUAGCGGUGAAAUGCGUAGAUAUUAGGAGGAACACCAGUGGCGAAGGCGACUUUCUGGACUGUAACUGACACUGAGGCACGAAAGCGUGGGGAG
rnacentral:rRNA from 1 species